rnacentral:rRNA from 1 species
UACGAAGGGGGCUAGCGUUGCUCGGAAUCACUGGGCGUAAAGCGCACGUAGGCGGAUCUUUAAGUCGGGGGUGAAAUCCUGGAGCUCAACUCCAGAACUGCCUUCGAUACUGAGGGUCUCGAGUCCGGGAGAGGUGAGUGGAACUCCGAGUGUAGAGGUGAAAUUCGUAGAUAUUCGGAAGAACACCAGUGGCGAAGGCGGCUCACUGGCCCGGUACUGGCGCUGAGGCGCGAAAGCGUGGGGAGCAAACAGG